rnacentral:rRNA from 1 species
UACGAGGGGGGCAAGCGUUGUUCGGAAUUAUUGGGCGUAAAGGGCGCGUAGGCGGUGCGGUAAGUCACCUGUGAAAUCUCUGGGCUCAACUCAGAGUCUGCAGGCGAAACUGCCGUGCUGGAGUAUGGGAGAGGUGCGUGGAAUUCCCGGUGUAGCGGUGAAAUGCGCAGAUAUCAGGAGGAACACCAGUGGCGAAGGCGGUGCUCUGGGCCGGAACUGACGCUGAGGAGCGAAAGCGUGGGGAGCAAACAGG